UGGGGAAUAUUGCACAAUGGGCGCAAGCCUGAUGCAGCCAUGCCGCGUGUAUGAAGAAGGCCUUCGGGUUGUAAAGUACUUUCAGCGGGGAGGAAGGGAGUAAAGUUAAUACCUUUGCUCAUUGACGUGACCCGCAGAAGAAGCACCGGCUAACUCCGUGCCAGCAGCCGCGGUAAUACGGAGGGUGCAAGCGUUAAUCGGAAUUACUGGGCGUAAAGCGCACGCAGGCGGGUUGUUAAGUCAGAUGUGAAAUCCCCGGGCUCAACCUGGGAACUGCAUCUGAUACUGGCAAGCUUGAGUCUCGUAGAGGGGGGUAGAAUUCCAGGUGUAGCGGUGAAAUGCGUGGAGAUCUGGAGGAAUACCGGUGGCGAAGGCGGCCCCCUGGACGAAGACUGACGCUCAGGUGCGAAAGCGUGGGGAGCAAACAGG
rnacentral:rRNA from 1 species